rnacentral:rRNA from 1 species
UACGUAGGUGGCAAGCGUUGUCCGGAUUUACUGGGCGUAAAGGGCGUGCAGGCGGUUUGUUAAGUGCAGGGUGAAAGCUCCCGGCUCAACUGGGAGAGGUCCUUGCAUACUGGCAGACUUGAGGGAGGCAGAGGAGAGUGGAAUUCCCGGUGUAGUGGUGAUAUGCGUAGAUAUCGGGAGGAACACCUGUGGCGAAGGCGGCUUUCUGGGCCUUACCUGACGCUGAGACGCGAAAGCGUGGGGAGCGAACCGG